CGCAUCCAACCAGCCCGAAAUCUCGCGCCGCCACCAAAAUCUCCGUGGGGGCGAAGCGGCGGCUGCGUCAAGUGCGUGGCGAGUGGCGACGAGGAAGAAGGCGGCGAGAGGAGAGAGAUGCUCAAGUUCGUUUCCAAGGUGGUGGUGGAGUACUGCCCGCUGGACCCGCGGAAGGCCGCGGCGGUGGAGCUCCUGGCGCAGUGCAACGGCCGCAAGGCCAAGGACUCCAACCCGGCCUGCUCCGUCGAGCUCCGCCGCCUCCCCGCCCCGCCCCAGUCCACGGGCACCGGGCCGCAGCCGCCGCGGGUCUUCGUGACCUACCUCAACGGCGCCGAGGAGGCCAUCGUCGCCGCGGAGGGCGCCACCGCGCAGGGCAUCCGGGACCAGAUCCUCGCCCGGGGCCGCCUCAUCGACACCGAGCAGAUGUUCCGCGACGGCGGGGAGAAGUGGCCUGUCGUUAUCCCCGAGGAGGAGCUCGGGAUGUCGUUCCCUGGCAUCAAGCCAAAGAAAGCGGAGGAUAAACCCCAGGCGUAGUCGCGAAGCCAGAAUUUCUCUUUGGCUAGUAAGACGUACUGAUGAUUGUGUGCAGCGGGAGCCGAUUUGCAACAGCCAGACAGGAGAACCUGUCUGCGUGAUUGUCAGUGUGCCCCCAAAACGCUUGCCGGACCUGAAAGCUCGCAUCAGGUGUACUCACAGGUUAUAUAUGUUACUGUAGAAUGUAUUCGAACUGAUCAAGGAACUGCUUAUGCCUUGGUGAACCCAUUAUACUUGUCGCAAUGGGCGGCAAAAUGGGCCUGUCAUGAGUAUGAGGACCGUGGGCCGGCGCAAACAUGAUUGAAUCGACGACUAUUAUUAUCUUUCCUCACAGGCCUUCCGUAACACGGCCCAGUAUUGAUUAGACAGGCCUAGCGUGGACUUGGAAGAGAUACCGGCUGAACUGCUGAAUGAAUGGUUGAUGCUGAAACAUUUCCUUGCAACGGAUCUGACAUCCUUGCGACAUGUGGGAUGUCAAAUGCUUGGUGGGAUCAAUCAACGGUGUUCUUGCAGUCCUUGUCCUCUCUUGCAACAAUGCAGAGCAUUCAGCCUUGUCAACUGAAGAUCAGCAAGAUGUCUCAAAGUCUACAGUCAGCAAGCUCCCUAUUACUCCAAGGAAGAAGAAGCCCAAGGCAAGUGUCCUGAUUGUUGAAGAUGACACAGUGAGAAGAAGCCUAAGAGUCAAGGCCCAGAGCAGAGGCUUCAAAAAGAAUAGCUGCCCAGGAAGAAAUUGCAUAUCCUCACACACGGUGGUAAGCUCAUCCUAGUUAACUCAGUUCUGACAUCUCUCUCAACCUUCUUGAUGAGCACCAUGAAACUUCAUGCCACUGUCAUAAAGCAAAUUGACAAAUACAGGAAACAUCUUCUAUGGAGAGGCUCUGAUAUAAAUGCAAAAAAAUCCCCAAAAGCAGCAUGGCAAAUGGUUUGUCUGCUAAAGGAAGAAGGAGGUCUUGGUGUCCUUGACCUGAAAACCCACAAUGAGGCACUUCUUCUGAAAAACCUUCAUAAGUUCUACAAUCAUGUAAACCUGCCAUGGGUUCAAAUUGUUUGGGACAAUUAUUAUCCUAAUGAUGAACUCCCAAACUCAGCCAAGAAAGGCCCUUUUUGGUGGAUCAUAGAGGCUCUGAUAUAAAUGCAAAAAAAUCCCCAAAAGCAGCAUGGCAAAUGGUUUGUCCGCUAAAGGAAGAAGGAGGUCUUGGUGUCCUUGACCUGAAAACCCACAAUGAGGCACUUCUUAUGAAAAACCUUCAUAAGUUCUACAAUCAUGUAAACCUGCCAUGGGUUCAAAUUGUUUGGGACAAUUAUUAUCCUAAUGAUGAACUCCCAAACUCAGCCAAGAAAGGCCCUUUUUGGUGGAGAGACAUCCUCAAAAUCCUAAACACGUAUAAAGGUAUGGCCAUCCCAAAUCCACGCAAUGGAAGAUCAGUGUACCUAUGGACUGGUAUAAUUUAUGGGAAGGUUUGGUUCCUAGUAUCAGAUUUCCAGAAUUGUUCUCCUUUGCUAAGGACAAAAACAUUACCUUGAUGAAGGCAACUAUUACUGAAGAAUUUCACUCACUCUUUCACCUGCCACUCUCUUUGGAAGCUUAUGAGCAAUUUUCAGCUACUGCAAAAUAAUCUGGAAGCAUUCCAACAGCAUGAGGAUCAUGACUCCUGGACGUAUAUUUGGGGAACAGGCAUCUUCAGCUCAAGCAAAGCUUACAAAUUCAUGAAUGGACACUAAUAUUCAUCAGGUCUACAGAUGGCUAUGGGAUAGCUGCUGUCAAACAAAACAUAAAGUAUUCUUUUGGCUUCUGUUGAAGGAUCGACUCAACACAAUAGGUAUCCUCUGCAAAGUUAUAGCUGUGUCCUAUGCCAGGAUAACAUCUUGGAGAAAGUUCUACAUCUCUUUCUAUGGUGCCCCUUUGCCAAAUCAUGCUGGGAUCAAAUUGGCCUAUAUAUCUUGGACAGUCUCUCGGGGUAUGGUAACCUGCAGUCUCUUAAAGACCAGAUUGGGCAGCCUUUCUUCAUGGAGCUAAUAGUCCCCAUGACAUGGAGCAUCUGGACAUCAAGGAAUACCUCAUCUUCGAUAAUCAAACACCCUCAGUGCAAGGAUGUCAAAGCAUCUUCAAGAAAGAAUUUGCACUUGUCAUACAUAGGGCAAAGAAGAAAUACCAUCCUAGGGCAAAGAAGAAAUACCAUCCUAGCAUAGACAUCUGGCUUUCUCAUUUGUAAUUUUCCUUUUUUCUGCUUCGUUUAUUUUAAUAUAUAACCAGUAGGUGUCCGCCCCUUCCUGUUACAUAAAAAAAUACUGUUAUUAUUCAUCUAUAAGCAGUCCCUAUGCCUUGAGAUUACAAGCAA